AACGAACGCUGGCGGCAUGCCUAACACAUGCAAGUCGAACGAGACCUUCGGGUCUAGUGGCGCACGGGUGCGUAACGCGUGGGAACCUGCCCUUAGGUUCGGAAUAACUCCCCGAAAGGGGUGCUAAUACCGGAUAAUGUCUUCGGACCAAAGAUUUAUCGCCUUUGGGUGGGCCCGCGUUGGACUAGCUAGUUGGUAGGGUAAAAGCCUACCAAGGCGACGAUCCAUAGCUGGUCUGAGAGGAUGAUCAGCCACACUGGGACUGAGACACGGCCCAGACUCCUACGGGAAGCAGCAGUGGGGAAUAUUGGACAAUGGGCGAAGGCCUGAUCCAGCAAUGCCGCGUGAGUGAUGAAGGCCUUAGGGUUGUAAAGCUCUUUUACCCGGGAUGAUAAUGACAGUACCGGGAGAAUAAGCUCCGGCUAACUCCGUG
rnacentral:rRNA from 1 species